GAUGAAGAACGCAGCGAAAUGCGAUAAGUAAUGUGAAUUGCAGAAUUCAGUGAAUCAUCGAAUCUUUGAACGCACAUUGCGCCCGCCAGUAUUCUGGCGGGCAUGCCUGUUCGAGCGUCAUUUCAACCAUCAAGCCCCCGGGCUUGUGUUGGGACCUGCGGCUGCCGCAGGCCCUGAAAAGCAGUGGCGGGCUCGCUGUCACACCGAGCGUAGUAGAUUUUAUCUCGCUCAGGGCGUGCUGCGGGUUCCGGCCGUUAAACCACCUUCAUAACCCAAGGUUGACCUCGGAUCAGGUAGGAAGACCCGCUGAACUUAAGCAUAUCAAUAAGCGGAGGA
rnacentral:misc_RNA from 1 species